rnacentral:piRNA from 1 species
UCAUAAACAACUGAUCAUAAA